GCCCGGGUGGCUCAGUCAGUUAAGCAUCCGACUUCAGCUCAGGUCAUGACCUCACGGUUCACGGGUUUGAGUCCCGUGCUGGGCU
rnacentral:tRNA from 1 species